rnacentral:lncRNA from 1 species
AGAGGGAGGAGUUAAGGAGACAGACAGAGAGAGAGAGAGAUCUGAGGAGAAGAGGGAGAACCAAAAUGGAGGCUGACGUGGUGUUAUCAAAGUGGAGUGACCAGGGCUGACAGGUAUUCUGACAUCUGCUCCCUGAGAGGUGACGUGGGAAGUCCUGCACUGUGAGUCCAUUGAGUAGGACACACCCAGGCCUCUUCUUUUCUCCAGGAUAUGUGCAAGAUGAGAGCCAGCCAUCGUCUCCUGAUAGUGGAGAUUUGAUCUGAAGCAUUCAAAUAGGAAAUGAAUGCUCAGAGGAAGCUUCAAAUUUCUUUCUACUUGAAGAAGCUGAAUUGCAGAAGCUAUCUCUGUCCUGUUAAUCACCGGGUCCACAGUGAAACCAGCCAACUUCAGAGAGUGAGUUAAAAGAGAGACUCUUGUGCUGCGUGACCCCUGACUGUAACCAAGUGUCCUUCUCUCUGAGACGUUCCCUCGGAGCUUGUUCUCACAGCCCUCACCUCCAGUGACCUCCACGAACUUUUCCACACGAGGGGUUCUCUGCUUCCCUCCAUCUGAGCUGCGCAAUUCCACCAGGCCUUUUGCUCCUCUUCAGUCAGGUGCUUUGGAGGUAAUGAAGUCUUUCGGGGGAAAAAUAAACAAAGGAAAUGCACCCGGUUGAUGUCAAUGGACUUGUUUAACUAUUUAAGGCCACUGUCUCCAAGUGUAAGUGUGCUGCGGUGUGUUUUGUAAAGUAGCGCUUAUAAUCCACUGAGCUUUCCAAACAGCCCUCUUGCCUAUUAAGCCUGCAUUGAGAAGUGGGUUUAAUUUGCCAGAGUAGUUUUUUGUGAUAAUUACAGGACUUGCAGAUUAGCUUGAGUGACUUGGCAAGGUUCUGUAGCUAAUAAAAAAUCACACAGGAAAAAAAUUGUAACAUUCAAUUGCUUCAAGGUUCUUCACGAGAGAAACAUUAAACAAACCUGAUAGGCCAGUUUCCAGUCUGUGAAACUGCACCGAAGGCUUGCUCACAUGAUUGAGGUCAGAUUGCGUUCUCCACUCUUACACUACCCAGAAUCCCCUUCCCAAGGACUAGUGCCACUGCAAUGGGCAAGUUCCCCACCUCAAUAAAGAUAACCCUACAUCAUAUUUUACAGCAGGACUUUGGGUCCCUAACCUGCAACUCAGCACUCAGUCCAUCAUGGGCUUUGCUAGUCUCUGUGACUUCUCCAGGGCAGGAAAGUGACAGGUUUCUGCGCAAGGGAGCCCGAGGUACCUGGUUCAGGAUGGAGAGGGCACUUGAGAGGCGUCAAAAGCAAGCACAGUUAGAGGACAUCAGCGAUGUUAAAACCCCACGAGGGUCAACAGUAGCCCAGGCAAAAUAAAGGAGCCUGAAGUGGAAAAACAGAAAUGGAACAAGACGUUUGUUCUGGAGCACGUGAGAUUGUCCUUCUAAGACAUUUCCAGAAGUAUUCAAAGGAAGAUUUAAUGGGAAAUCAUUAUGCAAAAGAGUCAGUAAUAUAUUUUAGUUUCAAAAAGUACGGAGCGUGACGCCUGUCAAUUAUACCUUCUGCAAAGGUGAGUGGCGGUUGUCCUUGCUGUUCCAAAAUGCAAAGAGAAACAAACAAACAAACAAACAAGCAAACCAGCUACUCCUAUUCCGCACUCCAAACACCAAGCAGAAAUGCUUCUGGGACAAACUGAGCUUCAUUCUUUAUGAAAAUGAAAACACUUCUUUCUGUGCACUAGGAAAAUGUUCUGCCUCUGAGCUGCAAAACCAGCACCAAACUUGAAAAGUUUGUGCAUCAAAGGAAAAAGGCAACCUACAGGAUGGGGGAGAAUAUUUGCAGGACACAUGUCCUGGAAGGAAUACAUAUUUAGACUGAAUAAAAUGAGUAAGAGGAGGGAUAGGGAGUUCGUGUUCAAUGUUGAGAGCUUGGGACAGUUGAGAAAACGCUCCGGAGUGUUCUGCAGAUGAAUGAUGGUGACGACUGCAUCAGUGUGAAUGUCCUUAACGCCGUCAAAAAUUGGUUAUAAUGGCAAAUUUUAUGCUACAUAUGUUUUACUACAAUAAAAAUGCCAGGAAAAUCUAACUGCUCCAAAUCCUGAAUUUAUUAACCCAAUAAAUUAGGAGAUGGUUAUUGACCUAUAAAUGGAUUUGUCAAUUUUUAAAAUGAUUUCCUUUAAAUUGAAUUCUUUCCUAGAGCUUUAUUGUCUCUUCACAAACCAUUAAACACUUGUUAAAGUGUUCAGAGAGGGCUGAGAUGGAGGAGGAAGUGAAAACCAAACAAACAGAUGAGGGACCUUCCCCAAAUGAUGUCUGCUAACAGGCUUCUUGGGUAUUCUAUUUAUAUAGAUUUUACAAGUGUUUUAUUUGAGAGGAAAAAUCCCUAGACCUUACAUAGUACAAUGAACUUCUUAUGCCUGUCAGCUAGAUUUAUUAAUUUUUAACGAGGUGUAUUACUUUUAAAAGCUAUCUAUUUACUAUUGGGGGAGGGAGAAGGACAAAGGACAUCUUGCAGAAGUCUGGUCUCUCCUGCUAUGUGGGUUCUGGAGAUAGGAAAUCAGGCAGGUUGUCAGGCCUAGAAGCAAAGGCCUGUCUGCACUGAGCCAUCUUACUUGUCUUAUUUUGUUACUUUUGAUGACCUAUUUUAGACAUCACUAUUCUAUAGCCCUAAGUAUAACUUCAAGUAUGUAUCUUCCACAAUGACUUUAUGACCAUGAAAUCAAUUCAAGAAAUUUAACAUGUAUGCAGUUCUAUCCAGCGUACAUACAGAUUUCUCAUCCCCCCUUUUACUGUAGUUUAUAGAAAAAGCAAUUCUCUUCCAUAUCUAGAGUUUGACAAGGAAUAUGCAUUGCAUUUGGUUUCUGUGUUCUUUAAUCUCUUGUUGUACAGAACUUCAACCUUUCAUGACAGGUUGAACAAUUUUGGAUCAUACAGGCUGUCAUGGUUUGAAUAUGUUUGGCCCAGGGAGUGGUACUGUUAGGGGUGUGGUCUUCUUGGAAUAGGUGUGUCACCGUGGGCGUGGGCUUUAAGACCCUCAUCCUUAGCUUCUGGAAGUCAGUCUUCCACUAGCAACCUUCAGAUGAAGAUGUAGAACUCUCACCAUCUCCUGCACUAUACCUGCCUGGAUAUCGCCAUGUUCCUGCCUUGAUGAUUAUGGACUGAACCUCUGAACCUGUAAGCCAGCCCCAAUUAAAUUUGUCCUUAUAAGAGUUACCUUGGUCAUGGUGUCUGUUCACAGCAGUAAAACCCUAACUAAGACACAGGCCAAUUACAGAAUGUCUCUUUUUGGUGUGUGCAGUGUUAAAGUUUGAAGCACAAGCCUAAUGCUUGUUAGACAAGCACUCUACCGCUGCUCUACAUCAGCAGCUCAGUGUGCCUCUUGUCUUGAUGGGCUCAUUGUUUUUUAUGACCCAGUGCAUUGGGGUGAGCAGCUCACACAGGUACGAAGGGGUCCCUCUCAGAGCUUAACAUCAGGGAACUCAAUGUUGGUUUGUCUGUUCUAUUUCAGCUGAGCUAGUAUCUGGCAGUUCCCCACAACCCCCAUCAAGUUACCACUUUUUUCUUUGUAAUUGUAAUUUGCAAAGAAAUAUUUGCAAGAUUAAGUAAUAGACUACACAACGUGUUUUAGCUUCCACUGAGCAUUCAGCCUGAACUGUUUUAUAAAGUUAUGAAAUGAUAGAUUUCCAACUUAAUAAUUAUUUUAAAGACUUAUUUUAUUUUUAGUUCUGCAUGUAUGCCUGUGUGUGCACGUGUGUACCUAUGUAUCUGUAUGGUUAUGUGCACAUGAAUGCAGAUGUCCAAGGAGAAGAGGCCAGACACAUUGGAUCCCUGGUGCUCAAGUGGGAGGUGGCUGUCAGCUGCUGUAGGAAGGUGAUGGGAACUCAGCUUGAGUCCUUUGCAAGAACAGCAUGAGCUCUUAAACACAGAGCCACAUCUUCAGUCCCUCUCUUAUUUUUUUAAAAAUUAUUCUCUCUCUGUGUAUGUGUGUGUAUACAGAGGUCAGAGGAUCAUUUUUGUAAAAUUAGUUCUCUCUACCUUUUUUUGUGGGCUCUGGGGACUAAACUCAAGUUGUUGGGAUUUUGUGACAAGUGCUGUAUCCACUGAGCCCUCUCACAUGCCCUUAAAUGUUAUUUUAAAUAAUAGCAAAUGAGUACGUUCAAGCAUACGAGAAUAAGCAUGUCCUAUUGAUUUGAAUAUGCAAAAGUAUGCCAAUUUUUUAAAUCUCUAUUACCAAGUGGACAAGUAUUCCAUUUUAUCUCCAAAAGUAAAGAUUUCUUUUAGAUACAGUCAUGUGGAUUAUACAACUUGACUGAAGCCAUGUCUCCAAGAUACAUACCUAGAGGGUAAAGGGAAUGCUUUAAAGGAGCGUGAUUAUGAAUAUCCAAGCUGAAAAUAAACACUAAUUACUAACAAAAAGGAUUACUGAGAAAAAUAUGGGUUGGUUUUCAGUACUUGACUCUGUAAAGUUAUUUCUUUUCUUAUUUAGUUUUUAUUCAUAAUCAUAAACUUAACUUUGCCAUCCAGCUAGACUUGAAGGGGAAUGAGGAAAAUAUGGAACCCAAAGAACUUGAGCAGAGAUUACAGGGUAUUUCAAGCAGAUGGGGUAGGGAUGCUCUCCUGCGCUACAGAAGGAAUGGUUGGAUGGGUAAAAUGCCUGCAAGUCAAAAGAAAUUAGAGUUAUCCACAGUCGGAAAUGGUCUUGCUGGUCUUUCCAUUCCUGGACCCAAAACACUCCAUGGCUUCCACAAUGUUCAUGCCUUCUUUCACCUUCCCAGACACCACAUGCUUGCCAUCCAGCCACUUAGUCUUGGCAGUGCAGAUAAAAAACUGGGAACCGUUUGUGUUGGUCCAGUAUUUGCCAUGGACAAGAUGCCAGGACCUGUAUGCUUCAGGAUGAAGAUCUCAUCCUCAAAUUUCUCUCCAUAGAUGGAUCUGCCGCCAGUGCCAUUAUGGCAUGUAAAGUCACCACCCUGGCACAUGAAUCCUGGAAUAAUUCUGUGAAAGGAGGAACCCUUCUAGUAAAAUCCUUUCUCUCCAGUGCUCAGAGCAUGAAAGUUUCCCGCUGUCUUUGGAACUUUGUCUGCAAACAGCUGGAAGGAGACUCUUCAAGGGCUCGUCAUCGGCCGUGAUGUCAGAGAACACGGUGGGGUCGACUGUGGCUACAGCAAGAGGACCAACGGUACUGUUGCUCUAGCUACAGGAAUAAUCCUGGGCAGCACUUGUUGACCUUGGUCACUGUCAAGGGAAGAUCGGCUGUUCCCACUGAGGGCAUCUUGAUGGAUUAAGGUGAUCAGCUGAUCAAUGUGAGGGGACAGAUGGGAGCUAGGAACUGUCUCGGUACUGAGUCAUUUUUCAUCUAAUGUGCAAGAAACCCAAAGAGCACAUCAAACAGCGAACUACGCCUAAGCUAUCCAUGUUUCUCCUGCUUCUUCUGAGAGGGUGAUUUACACGUAGCUCAACACUCGAGUGUUGCAGUAUCGAGUGACUGCAACCAAACAAUGGAACAUGCAUCGUGCCUGUUGACAGAGCCUGCAGUUGGCUUGGAACCGGGACCAUGCUGCAUUCGACAUCGUUCCUGGUGGCUGACUUGUUCCCAUAGAAUUAAAUGCUAGGCAUCCAGAAGCUGACUGUGCAUCUGAUGGGCUCACUAACAUUCAGGAACAGGUUGGCCUCAGACUUCAUCAAUGGAAAGAGCCACCUAGAACAUGGAUGCAAGCUGGAACUUUGACGUUGUCUUGGGGAUAAAAGUUAAACAAAGAAGUGGAUUCUUCAGUCCUGACGCGUAAGUCACUGAGAGGAUGAGCUCGUUCCCUCUCCUGAAAGACAUCUUCCUGUUACAGCAGCCAGCUUUGCCAGCUCCCUGAACGUUCUGCUGCCUCCUUGCCCAGAACAACACUAUCUGUGACCGUCAAGUUAAAAAGGCCAUCUGUCUAGCACCAUGACCUUCAGCUAGGCCAUCAUUGCUUGGGAAUGCUCCCUUCACAUCGUGCUCUCUUCUUUUUUUUUUUUUUAAAUUAGAAUUAACUUUAUUGUACAUCACAAGACAAAUAAGCAAUAAAAACAUGUUAUAUAGAUGAAAUAGAAUACAAUUCCAUGUUAAUGAAAAACAAAACAUUUUGACCAUAUUCAUCUUGUGUAAGAAUCUCAUGUUCUCUUUUUACUCCUGCUUCUCUCCCUCCUACUCCUAAUCUGCCUUGCUUCUCCAUUCAUUUCUUUCAAUCUACUGAGCUUCAUUACUGUUGCUUAUAGGAACAUGGCAGAAUGUUGUUAACAAGAGUGUGGUUGUUGAGUCAGUAGCUAAGCCACUGAAGAAAAAGGCUUCUUCCUUCCCCAUCAACCAUGGUCUAUAAAUCCUCGGGGACGGAAGGGGUGUCCUGCCUGGUCACGUGUUUCCACAGGCAGCAAAAUUUUCGUAUUCCUGUCUGGCUGGGCUUAAGUUUUUUUGGCAAGAGUCUCCCUUCCCCUUGUAACAUCUUGGAAAGCUUGUAACUGAGCACAAAGAUGUUUAUUUUGAGAAGCAAAAGGGACUAAAUAUGUUCAAAAACAAUCUCUACCUCUCCUGCAGGAAGAGCCUUACUUUUCUCUUGUGGAUACAUUUCCAUGGCUUCUCCUGUCAAAAGGCAAAGGGCACAGGCGAGGCUAUCAGGGAUGGCUCUGGAGAACUGGAACUCUCUCUCUGACACCGGAUCCUCAAGGGGUAUUAGGAAGUACUGAGCGGGGCGGAUUUAGAAAGAGACAGAAAGGGUGGGUCUAGGAGGAACAAAGUCAGACUGUUAGGAAGGACAAUGUCGACAUAAUAGACAGCUGCCCUCUGGCUAUUUCAUGUCCAUUGUAUGAUUGGUUAUUUCAUGUCCAUGCACAGAACACCAUUGGUAGACCUUUACUGACAUCGAUAAAUGUUGCUUGAUCAGCACCUGAGAAUCAUAACACACCUUAAUACACUUCUCACCAACUGGACAGCUAAGGAAAGUUAGACUUAGGAUUUCAGCCAUGCGUCCAGUCUUUUGAUUUUUAGGAUCAUCACAUCUUGAAAUAGUUAUUCUGAAAGUAACAUUUCUUGUUUUUAGAAUUUUCUCCUCUUUCUAUUCUGUAUUUAAAAAACAAAAAAACUAUCAAGCUACCUUACUAGUACAGAUGAACCUCACAAAGCCAAGCUCCUCUUACUAAAGCCAUCAGAGGUAAGAGUAUCUUUGCUGAAUGUUUGGCACAAGGGCUCAGAUCUCAGACUUGCCCAGAAUUCUUUUAUAGGACUUCGGUAGCAUAGGUGAGGGUUUUCAGAGAGGAUGGGGAGAGCCCCCAGGAGUUUGGCCACAAGUAAAAGGACACAUGUUUAGAUCCAGAUGAAAUCUUAAUUUCUUCUGAGUAGAAAUUGCCAGAGUGCAUGACGAGGUCCUUGCCAUUACUGUCUGCCUCAGCUGUAGGCAGAGUCCUUUAUGAGCUGUUAAUUGGCCAGAGUCAUACCGCUAACACCAACAGAUGGUAUAAAGUUAUAAAUCAGCCCUCAUCUGGGGAGAGAAAAGAUUGAUGUGACUGGCAUCACCACUAUCUUUAUUCUUCUAGAACAAAUUCAGGUGGAGAGGCCAAGUGGGAGCAUGUGCCUCUGGACCCCUCAACACCCGGAAGCUCUUACCUAUGCAGCAGUGCUAUUUCCUGGGUCUCUGUCUCUGCCUCUUAAGUGCUCACCAAAUGCCUAGGUGUUUCUCCCAAGUUCCAGGAUUUAUAAGUAGUUGCUCAGACAUUCGUAACCAUGAUUGUCUUUCUCUACAGGAACCUUACUCUUCCUUUUCAGGUCCCCAAGACAUACCCUUUCCUCCAUAACUAGCAUACAGCUUCUCGCCCUUCUCUUGAGAGAGCAAUGGGCAUUGGGUUUUUGUAUUUUCCUCUCUACUCCUGAUGAAAGGUACCGAAGCCAGGUAGCAAAUUAUUGUGACACAGUAUUUUGCUUUCUGACUAGAGUUGUCCAUGCUUCCUGAGAGCUGUCCUCUCAAAUGGGCUGCCAAUUUCAGCUCAUAUUCCAAGAAAAUCUGAGAACCCAGAAUCAAACCAAAAAGAGUCAGAAAAUACCGGUUACUGCUCUAGACCUGAAAGGCAGACAACAUGGAGGUCUUUCAAAACCAACAGCAGCCACAAAGCUAAUCAAGGCUCCAGGUUGAACUGUCACACUCAAGGCGACGAAAAGUCACCAAAGCCAUCAGGACUCUGAUCUCAGGUUCCUCUCCCAGGCAUUGGAUUCACAGCCCUGAGGAUUUUUCCUUCCAUUGGUUAGAGGCAGACAUGUUUGUGGUGUGGCUACACCGAUGUUCCCAUUUUAUAGGCAAAGCCAUCAUUCCUGACUCCGGAUAUAUAUUGAUUUUUUUUCUUUAUAAUGGCGGAAAGUAGGUUGGGCUUUCCCAACUUCAAGACUCACCUUUACACUGGAAAUCCAAAGACACUGACUUGCAUGAUCGAAUGUGUUGGGAAUGUUUUGGUGCUGGCUUCUUUGUUUGCUCAAAUCAUAAAGCUGACAGUUUCCCUGACCUGUGACCAUUGUGAACCUUCACAGCUCCCAGACUGUACUGACAGCUUUUGUUGUCUGAGCAGCCGGAAUUGUUGGUGUCCAGGAACCUUAUUCCUGCGACACUGUAUAGUAAGUUGGGGAUUUUAUUUGGUACAUGAAAGGAAAAAAAACUCGAUUUGUGAGUCAAGCAUUAAAAAGUAUGUUCACGAAA